AGUGAACGCUGGCGGUAGGCCUAACACAUGCAAGUCGAACGGCAGCACAGUAAUAGCGUGCUCUUACGGUUGGCGAGUGGCGGAUGGGUGAGGAAUACAUCGGAAUCGACUUUGUCGUAGGUGAUAACGAAGGGAAACAUACCCGAAUACCGCAUCCGACCUACGGGUGAAAGCAGGGGAGCUUCGGAGCUUGCGCGAGUGAAUGAGGCUAUGUCGGAUUAGCUAGUUGGCGGGGUAAAGGCAGACCAAGGCGACGAGCCGUAGCUGGUCUGGGAGGAUGACCACCGACACUGGGACUGAGACACGGUCCUGACUCCUACGGGCGGCCGCAGUGGGGACUAUUGGACACUGGGCGCAAGCCUGCUCCAGGCAUACCGCGUGGGUGCAGAAGGGCUUCGGGUUGUAAAGCCCUUUUGUUGUGGAAGAACACCAUCACGCUAAUCCACCGCUGUUGUGACGGUACCCAAUGAAUAAGCACCGGCUAACUUCGUG
rnacentral:rRNA from 1 species